CUUGUCUUUUAAAUGAAGACCUGUAUGAAUGGUGGAACGAGGGCUUAACUGUCUCCCUUUUUAGGUCAGUGAAAUUGAUCUGCCCGUGCAGAAGCGGACAUAAAAAUACAAGACGAGAAGACCCUUUGGAGCUUAAGACACAAGGUCAACUAUGUCAAAAAUCCCUAUAAACGAAAAUUAAACAAAAUAUUAACUGACCAAAGUCUUCGGUUGGGGCGACCACGGGGGAAAACGAAGCCCCCAUGUGGAAUGGGGUAAAACCUAAAACCACGAGGGACACCUCUAAGUCACAGAACAUCUGACCAAAAGAUCCGGCAUCAAAGCCGAUCAACGAACCAAGUUACCCUAGGGAUAACAGCGCAAUCCCCUCCAAGAGUCCAUAUCGACAAGGGGGUUUACGACCUCGAUGUUGGAUCAGGACAU
rnacentral:rRNA from 1 species